AUUAGGUUGAUGCUGGUUUCAUAGAAUGAGCUUGGAAGUGUUCCUUCUUCUUGAAUUUUUUGGAAUAGUCUGAGGAGUAUAAGUUUUAGUUCUUUCUUGAAUGUUUGGUAAAACUCCCCUGCGAAGCCGUCUGGCCCCAAACUUUUGUUUGCUGGAAGCUUUUUGAUGACUGCUUCAGUUUCUUCCAUA